rnacentral:rRNA from 1 species
UACGAAGGUGGCAAGCGUUACUCGGAAUUACUGGGCGUAAAGGGCAGGUAGGUGGUUCGAUAAGUCUGUUGUGAAAGCUCCCGGCUCAACUGGGAGAGGCCAACAGAAACUAUCGGGCUUGAGUAUAGGAGAGGUUACUGGAAUUCCCGGUGUAGCGGUGAAAUGCGCAGAGAUCGGGAGGAACACCAAUGGCGAAAGCAGGUAACUGGACUAUUACUGACACUCAACUGCGAAAGCUAGGGGAGCAAACAGG